rnacentral:rRNA from 1 species
ACUCAAAUGAAUAGACGGGGGCCCGCACAAGCGGUGGAGCAUGUGGAUUAAUACGUCACUAACCGUAGAACCUUACCCAGGCUUGACAUCUGGCGAACCCUCUUGAAAGGGAGGGGUGCCCGCAAGGGAGCGCCAAGACAGGUGUUGCAUGGCUGUCGUCAGCUCGUGUCGUGAGAUGUUGGGUUAAGUCCCGCAACGAGCGCAACCCUCACCGCCUGUUGCCAGCCUUAAGUGGGGCACUCUGGCGGAACUGCCCGGGUAACCGGGAGGAAGGUGGGGAUGACGUCAAGUCAGCAUGGCCCUUACGCCUGGGGCUUCACACAUGCUACAAUGGCUGGUACAGAGGGUUCCAAGACCGCGAGGUGGAGGCAAUCCCAAAAAGCCAGUCUCAGUUCGGAUCGCAGGCUGCAACUCGCCUGCGUGAAGCUGGAAUCGCUAGUAACCGCCGGUCAGCUAAACGGCGGUGAAUACGUUCCCGGGCCUUGUACACACCGCCCGU